rnacentral:rRNA from 1 species
UACAGAGGUCUCGAGCGUUAGGCGGAAUCACUGGGCUUAAAGCGUGUGUAGGUGGAUGCCUAAGUACCUUGUGAAAUCCCACGGCUUAACCGUGGAACUGCUUGGUAUACUGGGUGUCUUGAGUCACUCAGGGGCGAGCGGAACAAAUGGUGGAGCGGUGAAAUGCGUAGAUAUCAUUUGGAACGCCGAAGGUGAAAACAGGCUGCUGGGGUUGUGCCGACGCUGAGACACGAAAGCCAGGGGAGCAAACGGG